GUCCUAGCCGUAAACGAUGGACACUAGGUGUUGGUGGUAUCAACCCCGCCAGUGCCGAAGCUAACGCAUUAAGUGUCCCGCCUGGGGAGUACGGCCGCAAGGCUAAAACUCAAAGGAAUUGACGGGGCCCCGCACAAGCAGCGGAGCGUGGGGUUUAAUUCGACGCAACGCGAAGAACCUUACCAGGGCUUGACAUGACCAGGACGGCGGCGGAAACGUCGCUUCCCCGCAAGGGGCCUGGCCACAGGUGUUGCAUGGCUGUCGU
rnacentral:rRNA from 1 species